rnacentral:misc_RNA from 1 species
GAUGAAGAACGUAGCGAAAUGCGAUACGUAAUGUGAAUUGCAGAAUUCAGUGAAUCAUCGAAUCUUUGAACGCAUAUUGCGCUCUCUGGUAUUCCGGAGAGCGUGCUUGUUUGAGUAUCAGUAAACACCUCAACUUCCAUAUCUUUUUUUGAAAUGGGAGUUGGACUUGAGUGAUCCCAACGCUUUUCCUCACCGAAAAGUGGCGGGUUACUUGAAAUGCAGGUGCAGCUGGACUUUUCUCUGAGCUAUAAGCAUAUCUAUUUAGUCUGCCUAAAAAACAGAUUAUUACCUUUGCUGCAGCUAACAUAAAGGAGAUUAGUUCUUGUGCUGACUGAUGCAGGAUUCACAAAGACAGCUUCGGCCGACUUUGUAAACUCGAUCUCAAAUCAAGUAAGACUACCCGCUGAACUUAAGCAUAUCAAUAAGCGGAGGA